rnacentral:rRNA from 1 species
UACGUAGGGGGCUAGCGUUGUCCGGAAUCAUUGGGCGUAAAGCGCGCGUAGGCGGCCCGGUAAGUCCGCUGUGAAAGUCAAAGGCUCAACCUUUGAAUGUCAGCGGAUACUGCCGGGCUAGAGUCCGGAAGAGGCGAGUGGAAUUCCUGGUGUAGCGGUGAAAUGCGCAGAUAUCAGGAGGAACACCGGUGGCGAAGGCGGGUCUCUGGGCAUUUCCUGACGCUGAGGCGCGAAAGCGUGGGGAGCAAACGGG